AACGAACGCUGGCGGCAUGCCUAACACAUGCAAGUCGAACGAGACCUUCGGGUCUAGUGGCGCACGGGUGCGUAACGCGUGGGAACCUGCCCUUAGGUUCGGAAUAACUCCCCGAAAGGGGUGCUAAUACCGGAUAAUGUCUUCGGACCAAAGAUUUAUCGCCUUUGGAUGGGCCCGCGUUGGAUUCGCUAGUUGGUAGGGUAAAAGCCUACCAAGGCGACGAUCCAUAGCUGGUCUGAGAGGAUGAUCAGCCACACUGGGACUGAGACACGGACCAGACUCCUACGGGAGGCAGCAGUGGGGAAUAUUGGACAAUGGGCGAAAGCCUGAUCCAGCAAUGCCGCGUGAGUGAUGAAGGCCUUAGGGUUGUAAAGCUCUUUUACCCGGGAUGAUAAUGACAGUACCGGGAGAAUAAGCGCCGGCUAACUCCGUG
rnacentral:rRNA from 1 species